rnacentral:rRNA from 1 species
UACGGAGGGUGCGAGCGUUGUCCGGAAUCACUGGGCGUAAAGGGCGCGUAGGCGGCCUGAUAAGUAGGGGGUGAAAUCCUGCGGCUUAACCGCAGGGCUGCCUUCUAAACUGUCAGGCUGGAGCACAGUAGAGGCAGGUGGAAUUCCCGGUGUAGCGGUGGAAUGCGUAGAGAUCGGGAAGAACAUCAGUGGCGAAGGCGGCCUGCUGGGCAGUAGCUGACGCUGAGGCGCGACAGCGUGGGGAGCAAACAGG